AGUCAGUUGGCUGCUGUGAGGACGAGGAAGAGUCAGUACUUCGAGGAGAUGCCCACAAGAAACAUCAAGGAGUGUGCACACCAGAGCUCUCCUUUCCCUGGGAGUGAUGCCAUGGCAGUGGCUGAUCCACACAAGAUCAGGCUGCAGCAGAGAUUGCCUUCAGAACUGUUCUGCUGACAAGGAGCACAGCAAAACUGACACAGCAAGGCACAGAAAUGCUGCGGGAGCAGCUCAGAAUUGACAAGUGACAGCCAGAACAAGUGGCAGUGACCAGGUUUGCUCCCUGAGAUCUGAUUUCACAUUCAGCAUUACCUGAGAUGAAACAGGAAUAAACAGGGCAGUAGAUGUGAGAGCAGAUGAGUUUUGCUGACCCGUUGAAGGCUCGUCAGUGUGUUAAGGAAGAUGUGAGGCUGUGGCCCCAAAUCCCCCCUGGGCACAGGAACCUGAGCAUGGAGACAACUCAGGGCCCUGUGUGCUCCACCUGCCUGGGGACACCAGGACAAAGGCACAGAGAACCUGUUUCAGUCACUGCACAUAAAUAGCAGCCACCCACUAUGGAGCCACUCUGGGUCCCAGUCCUGUGCUGCAGCAAUCACAGUCACUCUGGCAAUGGCAUGGGGACACAGAGGACACCAGGGGCCCAAGAGAAAUGGUGGGAGCAAGGAUGGAUGGGGCUCUGGCACAGUGAAAGGGACCCUGCCCAUGGCAGAGGGUUAGAAGUAAAUGAUCUCUAAGGUCCCUUCAAGUCACACUGUGAUUCUGAGAAACUGUGCAGAAUACACCAUUCUGGAUGGAUCUGGUGGAAAAAAGACAAAGCUACCUCACUCUGCUGAUGUUUCUAUACAGUUCCAAAAUUUGAUUAACACAUCUAAUAGGACAGACAGUACCUAGCAGCUGUCAGUAAUUAUUUAGCCUCUGGCUGGCCUGCUUAUCCUGAAAAGAUUAAAGAAUCUGCAAAUGUACUUCACAGCAGAGACAAGAACUAAACAAGAUUAUUAGCCUUUAUGAGAAUGAACAGCAAUAAAAUGACAUGGCAGGGCUUAAUGCUAUUUCUUCAACAAGAAGUCACUAUUCUUUAUAAGCUGAAUAUUUCACAAAUGCCAAGAUCAUGUAUCUUGGGAAGAGCAGUGGGAAGUGGAUCACAGAUCCAUUCCCUAGGCACAGGCACUGUGUGGGAUGCAGUCUGUGAGAACAGGAGUGCCCCAGGAUGGAGAAAGGCCAUCCACAGGAGAUGUCAGGUUCUGAGAUAAUGGCACAGAGUUAUUCUCAGGAACCAAUAUCCCCUGGUUUGUCUAGUGUAUAUCUGUCAUUAAUCUGAUGGUGACAUUUGGGGCUGCCUCAUUUUCCUGCU